rnacentral:snoRNA from 1 species
CCCCGGCCCUAUCGAAGCUGCGUCUGCCUGGGUGGUGUGGCAGAUGCAGUCAAAAAGGAGCCGAGAGCGAAGGGUUUAUUUUUUUUCCUCGACGGUCGCCGCUCAGUUUGAGUCUCCGUAACUGUCCGGCAACAUUUCAGGAAAAUACAUGG